UACGUAGGGUGCAAGCGUUGUCCGGAAUUAUUGGGCGUAAAGAGCUCGUAGGCGGUUUGUCACGUCGCUGUGAAGACCUGGGGCUCAACCCCGGGCCUGCAGCCGAUACGGGCAAGCUAGAGUUCGGCAGGGGAGACUGGAAUUCCUGGUGUAGCGGUGAAAUGCGCAGAUAUCAGGAGGAACACCGGUGGCGAAGGCGGGUCUCUGGGACGGUACUGACGCUGAGACGCGAAAGCGUGGGGAGCGAACAGG
rnacentral:rRNA from 1 species